rnacentral:rRNA from 1 species
UAUAUUAGCAAUAGUAUAUGAGAGUGACGUACGGGUGCGUAACACGUAUGCAACCUACCUUGUACAGGAGUAUAGCUCGGGGAAACUCGAAUUAACCCUCCAUAAUAUGGUGAUGUGGCAUCACAUUACUAUUAAAACUUUGGUGGUACAAGAUGGGCAUGCGUCUGAUUAGUUAGUUGGCGGGGUAAUGGCCCACCAAGACGAUGAUCAGUAGGGGAACUGAGAGGUUGAUCCCCCACACUGGCACUGAGAUACGGGCCAGACUCCUACGGGAGGCAGCAGUAGGGAAUAUUGGUCAAUGGAUGGAAGUCUGAACCAGCCAUGCCGCGUGCAGGAAGAAGGCCUUCUGGGUUGUAAACUGCUUUUGCCAGGGGAUAAAAAGUCCCUGCGGGGAAAAUUGAAGGUACCUGGUGAAUAAGCCACGGCUAACUACGUGCCAC